GACGAACGCUGGCGGCAUGCUUAACACAUGCAAGUCGAACGAGAAUCUGUGGAUUGAGGAUUCGUCCAAAUGAAGCAGAGGACAGUGGCGGACGGGUGAGUAACGCGUGAGGAACCUGCCUUUCAGAGGGGGACAACAGUUGGAAACGACUGCUAAUACCGCAUAACGCGUAGAGGUCGCAUGGCCUUUACGCCAAAGAUUUAUCGCUGAAAGAUGGCCUCGCGUCUGAUUAGAUAGUUGGUGAGGUAACGGCUCACCAAGUCGACGAUCAGUAGCCGGACUGAGAGGAAGGUCCCCCACAUUGGAACUGAGACACGGUCCAAAACUCCUACGGGAGGCAGCAGUGAGGAAUAUUGGUCAAUGGCGGAAGCCUGAACCAGCCAAGUAGCGUGCAGGAUGACGGCCCUACGGGUUGUAAACUGCUUUUUGCGGGAAUAAAGUGGCUCACGCGUGAGCCUUUGCAUGUACCGCACG
rnacentral:rRNA from 1 species